rnacentral:rRNA from 1 species
UACGUAGGGUGCAAGCGUUUAAUCGGAAUUACUGGGCGUAAAGCGUGCGCAGGCGGUUUUGUAAGUCUGUUGUGAAAUCCCCGGGCUUAACCUGGGAAUGGCAAUGGAGACUGCAAGGCUAGAGUUUGGCAGAGGGGGGUAGAAUUCCACGUGUAGCAGUGGAAAUGCGUAGAGAUGUGGAGGAACACCGGUGGCGAAGGCGGCGUCCUGGACCGAAUACUGACACUGAGGAGCGAAAGCCAGGGGAGCAACGGG